AACGCACAUUGCGCCCGCCAGCAUUCUGGCGGGCAUGCCUGUCCGAGCGUCAUUUCAACCAUCAAGCCCCGGGCUUGUGUUGGGGAACUGCGGCUGCCCGCAGGCCCCGAAAUGCAGUGGCGGGCUCGCGGACACACCGAGCGUAGUAGCAUCAACCUCGCUCAGGGCGUGCCGCGGGUCCUAGCCGUAAAUCCGCCCUUUCUCAGCACUAGGUUGACCUCGGAUCAGGUAGGAGGACCCGCUGAACUUAA
rnacentral:misc_RNA from 1 species